rnacentral:rRNA from 1 species
UACGUAGGCAGCGAGCGUUGUUCGGAGUUACUGGGCGUAAAGGGUGUGUAGGCGGUUCUCUAAGUUUGGUGUGAAAUCUCCCGGCUCAACCGGGAGGGUGCGCCGAAAACUGGAGGGCUAGAGUGCGGGAAGGGAGAGUAGAAUUCCUGGUGUAGCGGUGAAAUGCGUAGAUAUCAGGAGGAAUACCGGUGGUGUAGACGGCUCUCUGGACCGCGACUGACGCUGAGACACGAAAUCGUGGGUAGCAAACAGG